rnacentral:rRNA from 1 species
CCGGAAUCGCUAGUAAUCGCGGAUCAGCACGCCGCGGUGAAUACGUUCCCGGGCCUUGUACACACCGCCCGUCACACCACGAGAGUUUGUAACACCCGAAGUCGGUGAGGUAACCUUUUGGAGCCAGCCGCCUAAGGUGGGAUAGAUGAUUGGGGUGAAGUCGUAACAAGGUAGCCGUAUCGGAAGGUGCGGCUGGAUCACCUCCUUUCUAAGGAA